AUGAACGCUGGCGGCGCGCCUAACACAUGCAAGUCGAACGGCACCCACCUCCGGGUGGAAGCGAGUGGCGAACGGCUGAGUAACACGUGGAGAACCUGCCCCCUCCCCCGGGAUAGCCGCCCGAAAGGACGGGUAAUACCGGAUACCCCCGGGAGCCGCAUGGCUCCCGGGCUAAAGCCCCGACGGGAGGGGAUGACUCCGCGGCCCAUCAGGUAGACGGCGGGGUGACGGCCCACCGUGCCGACAACGGGUAGCCGGGUUGAGAGACCGACCGGCCAGAUUGGGACUGAGACACGGCCCAGACUCCUACGGGAGGCAGCAGUGGGGAAUCUUGCGCAAUGGGGGGAACCCUGACGCAGCGACGCCGCGUGCGGGACGGAGGCCUUCGGGUCGUAAACCGCUUUCAGCAGGGAAGAGUCAAGACUGUACCUGCAGAAGAAGCCCCGGCUAACUACGUGCCAGCAGCCGCGGUAAUACGUAGGGGGCGAGCGUUAUCCGGAUUCAUUGGGCGUAAAGCGCGCGUAGGCGGCCCGGCAGGCCGGGGGUCGAAGCGGGGGGCUCAACCCCCCGAAGCCCCCGGAACCUCCGCGGCUUGGGUCCGGUAGGGGAGGGUGGAACACCCGGUGUAGCGGUGGAAUGCGCAGAUAUCGGGUGGAACACCGGUGGCGAAGGCGGCCCUCUGGGCCGAGACCGACGCUGAGGCGCGAAAGCUGGGGGAGCGAACAGGAUUAGAUACCCUGGUAGUCCACACCGUAAACGAUGGAUACUAGGUGUAGGGAACGAUAUGUUUUCUGUGCCGAAAGCAAACGCAAUAAGUAUCCCACCUGGGGAGUACGGCCGCAAGGCUAAAACUCAAAGGAAUUGACGGGGGCCCGCACAAGCAGCGGAGCAUGUGGCUUAAUUCGAAGCAACGCGAAGAACCUUACCAGGGCUUGACAUAUGGGUGAAGCGGGGGAGACCCCGUGGCCGAGAGGAGCCCAUACAGGUGGUGCAUGGCUGUCGUCAGCUCGUGUCGUGAGAUGUUGGGUUAAGUCCCGCAACGAGCGCAACCCCCGCCGCGUGUUGCCAUCGGGUGAUGCCGGGAACCCACGCGGGACCGCCGCCGUCAAGGCGGAGGAGGGCGGGGACGACGUCAAGUCAUCAUGCCCCUUAUGCCCUGGGCUGCACACGUGCUACAAUGGCCGGUACAGAGGGAUGCCACCCCGCGAGGGGGAGCGGAUCCCGGAAAGCCGGCCCCAGUUCGGAUUGGGGGCUGCAACCCGCCCCCAUGAAGUCGGAGUUGCUAGUAAUCGCGGAUCAGCAUGCCGCGGUGAAUGCGUUCCCGGGCCUUGUACACACCGCCCGUCACACCACCCGAGUCGUCUGCACCCGAAGUCGCCGGCCCAACCGAGAGGGGGGAGGCGCCGAAGGUGUGGAGGGUGAGGGGGGUG
rnacentral:rRNA from 1 species